GGCGCCGUACCCAAGUGGCUAAGGGAAGGGUCUGCAAAACCCUCAUUCGGCGGUUCGAUUCCGCCCGGCGCCUCCA
rnacentral:tRNA from 2 species